rnacentral:rRNA from 1 species
GAAGUCCACUGAACCUUAUCAUUUAGAGGAAGGAGAAGUCG